AUGCUUCACACCAGCACGGCCGGGAAAUCGUCGAAUUCGAAGUCCAGCCGGGAGGACCGGAUCAGCGACCUGCCGGACGACGUCCUGCACCAUGUCCUUGGCUUCCUGCGGGCCGAUCAGGCGGUGCGCACCUGCCUGCUCGCUCGCCGCUGGCGCCACCUUUGGAAAUCGAUGCGUUGUCUCCGCAUCAACGACAUGGGGAGCUGGAGGAAGAGCACCGACGUCUUUCGUAACAAGUUCAUCAGCUGCCUGCUGCUCCUCCGAGACCCUGGCUCGACACUAGACGAGGUCGAAAUCGAGUACAAUUAUUCGGAAGAAUAUCACCAUUCUAACAACGGUGGUCCUCCUUGGGUCGGCAUUUGGAUCCAACAUGCUUUGUCAAGCCGAGCUCAGGUGCUCACUGUCAAGCUCACUGAGAGGGCGUAUUUCUAUUUGUGUUUGUAUGGCCCUCUCAUAUCCCAGUAUUUGAGAAGAUUAGAGAUUUCUGAUGUGAGGUUGAAAAGCAGCUUCCUAGAUUUUUCAAGCUGUUCGGAAUUGGUGGAUCUAAACAUAAAAGACUGCACCUUAGAUGCUCGUAGGAUCUUGUCCCAGUCUUUAAAGCAUUUGAGCAUCAGUGGAUGUGCUUUCCCACCUAAUGGUAGCCGGAUUCGUAUUUCUGUACCAAAUCUCGUUUCGCUGCAACUCAUAAAAAUUGCAGGUUGCUGUGGUAAUGAUGGCCACAAUGAUGGUUGCAUACUUUUUGAAGGUCUUUCUCAUGCUAAAAACUUGGAGUUGAUACAAACUUAUCCACAAAUGUUUAUUUUCAGAAGGGAUUUGACAUGGUGCCCUAUAUUUAGUAAUCUAAAGACAUUGUUGAUGAACCAGUGGUGUGUGCAACCUGACUUCAGUGGACUAGUUUGUAUGCUUGAGCAUUCACCGGUUCUUGAGAAUCUGACACUUCAAUUGUGUAAGCAAGGAAUACGUAAAUGUGCAUCGGAAGUGGAAGAAAAUCCUGGUUUAUUGGAGAAACCACCUACUAUUUCAGGAUACCUGAAGAUUAUCAAAGUCAAAUGUGAAGGGAUUGAUGACAGGGUUUGCAAAGUUUUGAAGUUCUUGAGUACAUUUGGCAUAGAAAUUGCUAUUCAAAGGACUAAUGGAUAG
rnacentral:rRNA from 1 species